CGGGAGUACCCGCUGAAUUUAAGCAUAUAAAUAAGUGGAGGAGUAAAAACUAACCAGGAUUCCCCCAGUAAUGGCGAAUGAACAGGGAAGAGCUCAAAUACAUAACCGUGCAUGCGGAAUGUAACCUCGUGUGCUCUCACCAGCAGUUGCCCCGUCGUUUGUUGUUUGGAAAAACACAUAACUACGGGUGAAAAUCCCAUCUGUCGGCCUACGGCGACUGCGUACGGUGUGAGUUCCCCGAGUCGCGCACCCUGGGACGGGUGCGUAAAUUCGGUGGUAAGUUUCAUCGAAAGCUCAAUAUCUCCUCGAGUCCGAUAGCGAACAAGUACCAUGAGGGAAAGGUGAAAAGUACUUUGAAAAGAGAGUUAAACGUGCCUGAAAUCGUUGUGAAUCAAGCGAUUGGAAUCAACGUCGUUACGGAAUUGGAGCGCAAUCUUGUUUCUCUGGAUCCCGUGAAGACAACUGACACUGCUGAGUUAGUUAUUUACACCGCCAUUUGCAAUGACUCCGGUUUGAGCCUUUGGAAGUAAUAACUUUUUCAGUGGCGGUACACAUUAUAUUGGAUCGUUUCUCACGUCUGAUGGUGUUAUUUGGUGCCAUACUUAUGUCCCAGAUGCAUCAGAUUACCGAUGGAGCUCGAAAUAUGAUGUGGUGUCAGUAUAGCAGGUUCCAAUUGACCCGUCUUGAAACACGGACCAAGGAGUCUAA
rnacentral:rRNA from 1 species